CACUGUAACAGUCACUGAAGUUUGCUCUAAUCACUCUACCAGGCUACUUGGCAUUUCCUGGGCAUGCAUGAGAGUCAGCUAAGCCAAGGAUGGGUUCCAGUGUGAUGUAAGUCAUCCAGGCUGCGUGCCUCACUAUGAUGAUGCAACUGAAAAGCUCAAACAGCCAUUAUCAAGAUGACAAGGAUGAGUUUUAAGAUGGAGAGGGCCAUCCACAAACUCUCUCCAAGCCUCCACAGAAUAAUGGAGAAAAUGAAACACAUUUCAGGAAGUCUGAUUUUACUUUGCAGGCUCUGGUUAGGUUGCACAUGUGAGUGGUCAACACCUCCCCCCUCCAUUGAUGUGUAAAGUACCAAUCUAGCAUUAUUAAUUUGUAUGGUAAUCAAAAGGAAGUCACAUUUUUACCUUAUGAACACAAUGAAAUUAAAGUCUAGCAUCAUUUCUAACAUCUGAUUUUACAGCUGGCAUUUACAUCUAAUUUUCAUUUGCUAAUUUCUUCCAGGAGGCUGCUGUAUAAUUUCAAAUACAAUUCUAUUACAGACAAAAUAAGUAAUCAAGUCUCAGCACCAGCAUCUUCCACACAGCUUGAGUCUGAUGGAAGCCUGCUGAUAAUGGGGCAAAGCAAGAAUAAUGGAUGGUAUUGAAUGUCCACACAUACACCUUCCCCUGCAGCAACUUUUAUGAAUGCAUGCAGAGGGGAACAAUCCUUAGAAGCUCCCAUGUGUCCAAAAAGAUUGCUCAGGAGGCCUGGGUAAGUCUUCAAAGCAGAAUUUUGGGGGAUGGCAGGAGGGAGAAACCAAAGACCCCAAUGCUAAUAGAAAACAUUUUAGAGUUAGGCUCAUAUCUGUUCCCCUCUUCUCCAAAUGUAUAGAAGUUAUCUAUCUAAAAGAGUACACACAUUUUUAACACCAGCUGAUUCAAAUAAAAUAUACUGUUGCAGCUUCUCGUCAAUAAGUUAUUGCUUGAUGAAAUAGAUUUCUGGCUAGGGUUGCAGCACUUAAAUACACGGUAGGGUUACUCACAAGGCAGUGUUUAAGGGUUUGCCACCUAUGCCAUCUCAUACCCACCCAACUUGUUCCCGUCUU